rnacentral:rRNA from 1 species
AGAGUUUGAUUCUGGCUCAGGAUGAACGCUGGCGGCGUGCUUAACACAUGCAAGUCGAACGAGGGUUGCUGGUUGAAGUUUCGGAUGGAAACCGGUAAUUCCUAGUGGCGGACGGGUGAGUAACGCGUGGGGAACCUGCCCUGCUCCGGGGGAUACCAGCUGGAAACGGCUGUUAAUACCGCAUAAGCGCACAGUAUCGCAUGAUGCAGUGAGAAAAACUCCGGUGGAACGGGAUGGCCCCGCGUCUGAUUAGCCAGUUGGCAGGGUAACGGCCUACCAAAGCGACGAUCAGUAGCCGGCCUGAGAGGGCGACCGGCCACAUUGGGACUGAGACACGGCCCAAACUCCUACGGGAGGCAGCAGUGGGGAAUAUUGCACAAUGGGGGAAACCCUGAUGCAAGCGACGCCGCGUGAGUGAGGAAGUAUUUCGGUAUGUAAAGCUCUAUCAGCAGGGAAGAAGAUGACGGUACCUGCACAAGAAGCCCCGGCUAACUACGUGCCAGCCGCGGC